CGUGCUUAACACAUGCAAGUCGAACGAGAAAGCCGAAAGCUUGCUUUUGACGAGUAGAGUGGCGCACGGGUGAGUAACGCGUGGGUAAUCUGCCUUCGAACCGGGGAGAACAGUUCGAAAGGGGUGCUAAUACCGGAUGACAUCCAGGUGUCUUCGGGCGCCUGGAUCAAAGAUGGCCUCUCCAUGGAAGCUGUUGUUCGAAGAUGAGCCCGCGUCCCAUUAGCUUGUUGGUGGGGUAAAGGCCCACCAAGGCGACGAUGGGUAGCUGGUCUGAGAGGAUGAUCAGCCACACUGGCACUGAGACACGGGCCAGACUCCUACGGGAGGCAGCAGUGAGGAAUUUUGCGCAAUGGGGGUAACCCUGACGCAGCAACGCCGCGUGAGUGAAGAAGGCCUUCGGGUCGUAAAGCUCUGUCGAGUGGGAAGAACCCGCAUCAGGUGACAAGGCUGAUGCGCUGACGGUACCACUGGAGGAAGCACCGGCUAACUCCGUGCCAGCAGCCGCGGUAAUACGGAGGGUGCAAGCGUUAUUCGGAAUUACUGGGCGUAAAGGGCGCGCAGGCGGCCUGGUAAGUCAGUAGUGAAAGCCCGGGGCUCAACCCCGGAAGUGCUGCUGAAAACUGUAGGGCUUGAGUAUGGUAGAGGGAAGCGGAAUUCCUGGUGUAGCGGUGAAAUGCGUAGAUA
rnacentral:rRNA from 1 species